GAAAUACUAAGAGAAGAAAAAGUGAUUGUAUUUUUUAUUUUUGUUUUCUUUUUUAUAUUUCCACUUGGCUAUUUCGUUGUUCUUAUUUGCUAGUCAAUUCUUUAUGCAACUAACUAAUAUAUGCUUACAACUUUACCAUUAUCAUCACUGUUAUAAGUUUUUCUUGAUGCUCACGUAUCUACUUGGUUUCUUUUAUGAGAGUUAUUAUAUGCAUUAUUAGUGUAAUGAUUUAUAUGCAGAUAAUAUAUUAUUGAUCAUUUAUUUAUAUUACUUUUUUGAAGAGAUCAAAGAUAAUUAAAUAUAAAUGAUAAAUGAUACACUUGUAGUAUAUAAAACUUAUGUUAGUGCAUACAUUUUUUUCUCUUUCUUUUAUUCCAAUAUAUUUAUAUUAAUGGUUUUUGUUUUUUAUGAAUCGAUCACACUUUACUAACCAAUAACAAUCAAAUUAAACAACACACUAUUCUACAAUAAACAUUUCAUGCAUUACAUAAAGUGAAAACACUCAAAAUAUUAUAUAGAGUUUAAAUAUGAUUUUUGUCCUAUAUUUAUAUUUUAUUUUUAUUUUAGUUCCUAUGUUUUUUCCUGUAUUUUUUUGUCAAAUUUAAUUUUAAUCAUUGCUUUUUAAUUUGGAUGGAAUAUAAUGAUGUGAUGAGCCCUACAUUUAUAUGGCUCGUGCUGAUUUUAUUUCUUGUGUAUGGCUCUAAUACAAAGUAGUAAAUGUGAUGAAAAAAGAAAAGGAUUUCCUGCCCAUGAUUUUUUGUGUGAGGAAAAAAAUGUAUGCACAAAAGUUUUAUAUGUUCUUAGUUCAUUAUCCACCAUAUCAUUGAUUCUUCAAAAAAAUUAAUACAAAUGAAUGAUAGAUGAUAUAUAUAUAAAUUUUUAUACUGACAAUCCAUAUAUAUUACAUUCUAUUUGUCGAAGAUAAAAAAUUCAAAAUUUGACUAACUAAUGUUUAACCAAGGUUUAGUUUUUCUUUGUAAAACAGGUUAAGUGGAAUGGAAGGAACUUCACUAAAGAUGAUGGUGUGUCUUGUUGUUAUUGCCAUUAUUUUGAUGGGAAGUGCAGAAGGAUACUGUUGCCCAAGGAACCCAUUGUGCUGCAUUAAUAAACUCAACAACAUAGAAAGUGAUACUCUUUUGUAGCUCUUCUCCAAAUUUACUAUUUCAAUAAAAGGCAACCA
rnacentral:lncRNA from 1 species